rnacentral:rRNA from 1 species
CUUGGCAGUUAUGGCGGAUGUGAUACACACGAUCCCAUCCCGAACUCGAUAGUGAAACCAUCCAGCGCCGAUGAUACUUUUGCUUAAGCAGAAGGGAAAGUAGGACGCUGCCAGGC